GAAUGAGAUGAUUUGAGUAGGAACUCCAUCUCUCACGUGGUGUGGCUGGCCUCGUGUCUAUUAAAUGCUUUCUCUACUACAGUGCUGUGGGCUGUCUUUAUGCAGUGGGCAGGAAGAACCUCUCAGGCAGUUACAAUUGCAAGUCCACAAAUUAAUUAGAGACAGAUACCUGAGUUCCCCAGUCUCCUGCACACAAGUUUGAGAUCGGCUUGAAUGACAGUACUGAAAUUCAGUGUUAGAGGUAGCCUCUAAAAGGGGCUCUCAUAAUUUUCACCUCCUGGAAUUCAUGCCUUUGUGUAAUACCUUCUCGAUCACUUGCAUCUGGAGAAAGCCACUGCCAUGACAUGAAGUAGCCCUGAAGUGAGACCCAGAUGAGUACGUUUAGAAAUAGAUCUUCUGUGGCCAGCCAACAGUGACGUGAGUGAGUUCAGAAGCAGAUCUUCACCUAGUUGAACCAUCUAAUGACAGCAGCCCCAAACAAGUUUGAUGGCUACUUUGUAAGACACAGACCCUAAGGUUGAAUCACCCAGAUAUAUCACUAUGAGAUUCCUCACACACAGACAUGGUGAGGUAAUAGAUGUCUCUUGCCUGGGGUACUUUUUAAUGCAGCUAUAAAUAAUACAAUCAGGAUAAGAAGGGAUAAAUAUUGCCAGAAAAAAAUAAAAUGUGUCACAGAC